UGCGGUAUAAAAGAGCAACUGGUACAGGAAACAUCCAGCCCUAGAACACUCCACCAAAGUGCGGGAGAGCGGCUAGAACCCUCUUCCGGUUGGAGGAGCCAGUGAGCACCACGGUUUGUGUUCCAAAGUUACUUGGGGUAUAAAGAUUGCUCUAUGAUCGGUACAGCUGUUCAUACCUGCACCAGCGGUGGCCGUGGGCUUGGCCAACUCUCCACCAGUUUACUGUGCUGUGGUCGUUGAGUGGCAUAGAGAGGAAGGAACAUCUGGGUUUGAUGAAGGUGCCUGGUGCCCUGAAACUCCCUGUGAAUUUGCUGGUGACCUCACUCAUCAACCUUUGGGAUAGCAGUCAGUGUUCGCUCUCUGCUUUUCAAAAAGAGAUACUUGACUAUCUGAGCUUGGCUCACAAGGAGGCUUCCCAGGCAAAAGGAGAAUAUUAUAUGGACUUUUUCAUUGACCUACUUUUUAAGGAAUGUAGAGGAGUGGAAAAUGGAGGUUGUUGAUUCUGCCUUAUGGAUGAAAUAUAGAAAACGUGAGGAAACUGAAGUUCAGAGAGGUGAUUUCCCCAAAUUAUAUACAGUUGUACGGGGCAGAGGAGAAGAAAAGAGUUGAAGAAGGAGCCUUAAAAAAAUGGCUAAAACAUCCACUGGACAAGACUGAAUUCUACUACCUAGUCAGACUGUUGUCAAGAGAUGUGCCAAAAGUGUAAGGGUGAGACACACUGCGUAUCUGAAAACCUAGGCAUAAGCUGAUACUGGAGAAGAGAGCAGCCAGCUGAAGCCGGAGCUUGCAGACUGUUCAUAGAACAUUUAUGUGUUUCAUUCUCAUUUAAGGAAAAUUAACUGAACAG